rnacentral:rRNA from 1 species
ACGGCUCAGUAACACGUGGAUAACCUACCCAAGUGUCCGGGAUAACCCCGGGAAACUGGGGAUAAUACCGGAUAGAUCAAGCUUGCUGGAAGGCUGUUUGGUUGAAACCUCCGGGGCGUUUGGAUGGGUCUGCGGCUGAUUAGGUUGUUGCCGGUGUAACGUACCGUCAAGCCUGUAAUCAGUACGGGUUGUGGGAGCAAGAGCCCGGAGAUGGAUUCUGAGACACGAAUCCAGGCCCUACGGGGCGCAGCAGGCGCGAAAACUCUACAAUGCAGGCAACUGCGAUAGGGGAACAUCGAGUGAUCCUCAUAUUGGGGGUCUGUCCACCCGCCUAAAAAGCGGGUGUUAGCAAGGGCCGGGCAAGACCGGUGCCAGCCGCCGCGGUAAUACCGGCGGCUCGAGUGGUGGCCGAUAUUAUUGAGUCUAAAGGGUCCGUAGCCGGCUUUGCAAGUCUCUCGGGAAAUCCAGCGGCUUAACCGUUGGUCGUCCGGGGGGUACUACAUUGCUUGGGACUGGGAGAGGUAGGAGGUACUCAGGGGGUAGGAGUGAAAUCCUGUAAUCCUUUGGGGACCACCGGUGGCGAAGGCGUCCUACCAGAACAGGUCCGACGGUGAGGGACGAAAGCUAGGGGCACGAACCGGAUUAGAUACCCGGGUAGUCCUAGCCGUAAACGAUGCUCGCUAGGUGUCACAACAGUCGUGAACUGUUGUGGUGCCGUAGGGAAGCCGUGAAGCGAGCCACUUGGGAAGUACGACCGCAAGGUUGAAACUUAAAGGAAUUGGCGGGGGAGCAC